rnacentral:rRNA from 1 species
UAGAGUUUGAUCCUGGCUUAGAACGAACGCUGGCGGCAGGCCUAACACAUGCAAGUCGAGCGAGACCUUCGGGUCUAGCGGCGGACGGGUUAGUAACGCGUGGGAACGUGCCCUUCUCUGCGGAAUAGCCACUGGAAACGGUGAGUAAUACCGCAUACGCCCUUCGGGGGAAAGAUUUAUCGGAGAAGGAUCGGCCCGCGUUAGAUUAGAUAGUUGGUGGGGUAACGGCCUACCAAGUCUACGAUCUAUAGCUGGUUUUAGAGGAUGAUCAGCAACACUGGGACUGAGACACGGCCCAGACUCCUACGGGAGGCAGCAGUGGGGAAUCUUAGACAAUGGGCGCAAGCCUGAUCUAGCCAUGCCGUCGUGUGUGAUGAAGGUCUUAGGAUCGUAAAGCACUUCGCCAGGG